GCCCUGGCUGGUCUCGAACUCCUGGACUCAAGCCAUCUUCCCACUUUGGCCUCCUUGUUUCCUUUCUAAAACUGCUUCUGUAUGGUAGUUCAUUCAAUUUUUAAAUACAUCAAGCUCAAAAGAAAAUACUGUAGGGCCGUGUUAACAUUCAUGUAGGCUGGAAACAAAUGUAGCUCAGAACCAGAUUUUUGAAACUGAGGAUGAGAAAGAUUGAAAAGGUAGAUGGGAGAACAGGAAACACAUGAAGAGUUAUACACGUGUGCGCAGAGAGGUGAGAACUGAGAAGGAGAAUGAAUUGGAGAGAAAACCUUCAUUAGACUCAGAGAGGGAAGCAGUGGCAGUAUACCAAGGUCACUUCUAAUUUAGACCAUCUAAUUGGCAAACAGGCUCCAAAUGGCUAUCAUCUCACAGGGCUUGGAAUUAAUGAAGGCUGAUUAUUUUCAUUACCUUCCUCUUAAGAUACAGGCAAAGUGAGAGAGCUGGUACCCAGGUGGGUGCAACCGCCCCCAGGCCAGUGGCUGCCCUAGAGCCCCAGAUAACCAGCCUGUCCUAGAGAUUCACAGACACACAUGAAGCAUAGAGAGUCACAGACGCUGACGGAAAAAAAUCACAAGGUUACAAACUAUUGGUCUCAAAAGAGAUACCGAGAAAAGUGCAGGCAACACAGGGCCAGGAGCAUGGAAGGGAAACUGUGCAGGUACAAAAAAUACAGAAUAAUUAAGAACUACCAAAGGGAGCCAAGACAAAGGGCUACAGAAGGUGUUCCUAAGCUGCCCAGGAGCCAAUCCCAUCUCCAUUAUGAGGUCAUAUUUUGUUAAAUGAUGAAAGAACAAAGAGAAUUUCCCCAUAUCAGUGCUUCAGGAUCCCAGUGGUGUGUCCUGUCACUUAGAAAGAUAGUGAUCAAUUAGAAUAAUUUAAGAGUAUUGAAAUGCAUGGUAGGUGGUCUUUCCUAUUCUCAUUCAGGGGACAGAAACAUGGGCCCCAUGCCUUCCACCCUUCUUUCCUGAAAGAAUGGGAAAAUAAGGGCACCGAGCAGCAGCUCCUACAUCUCUUUCACCAAUUUGAAAUCUCAAGCUUCUUUGUAAAUAGGCUCCCAUGGUUCUAGGCCAUCAGAUGGGAAGUACAAUGAGGCCUGUUACUUCCAAGGAUGAUGAGAAAGCUGAGGAAACCAGUAACACAGAAACCCACUGGUCCACAGAAGGAGGUUUUCACUUACAGAGAAUCUUUACACACUGUUCACCAGCUGAUUUGAAAAUACCCACAGAAAGUUAAUUUAACUUCAAAGAUCUCUGAAAGGCAACUCAUGGCUAGGUCACCUUUGAGCUUCCCAUUGGCUGCUAAAGUUCUCUUGAUGCAUCAUCAAUUAUAUAUUCUUCAUGACUAAACAUCACUUACAACGUUAUUCAUUAACGUUUGCAGAACCAAAUGGAAUAGAAAAUGCCUGGAGGUGAUAUGUCUGUGACCUGCACAUUAUAACGUGCAGUUGUGAACAGACUACCUCUCUGGGAAUCUUCACGUGAAAAGGCAAUCAAAUUAACUUAUUACUCCACUGCUAAAAUAAUGCUAAGAAAGAGCUGUUUUUGGUCGCUUCGAAGAGAGGGGAGACUCUGAGCUACCUGGGAAGGAGAUGCGUUUGGAGGUUGCAGGAGAAUCUGUC
rnacentral:lncRNA from 1 species